AGGGAAUAGAUACCCCGGUAGUCCUGGCAGUAAACGGUGCACGUUUGGUGUGGGCGCAAUCGACCGCGUCCGCGCCGGAGCUAAACGCGUUAAACGUGCCGCCUGGGAAGUACGGUCGCAAGAUUAAAACUCAAAGAAAUUGACGGGGACCCGCACAAGCGGUGGAGUAUGUGGCUUAAUUCGAUGCAACGCGAAGAACCUUACCUGGUCUUGACAUGCAUUGUGUCUCCGGUGAAAGCCGGAUAGGGUAGCAAUACCCGCUUUGCACAGGUGCUGCAUGGCUGUCGUCAGCUCGUGUCGUGAGAUGUUGGGUUAAGUCCCGCAACGAGCGCAACCCCGUGUGAUUUGUUGCCACCGGCUUAUGCCGAGCACUCGAAUCAGACUGCCUCGAUCAACGAGGAGGAAGGU
rnacentral:rRNA from 1 species